rnacentral:lncRNA from 1 species
AUUGUUUUACUGCUGUGAGACUAAUUUUGCUUUUUAUGUGGGUGUCUUACCAAUUUUUAUGACCUAGCAGGGUUUGGGCGAAUUUUCAAACAAUGGCUUCAGAUUUUGAUAUGUUGUUACUGAUGACAAAUUGGGGAUACACUUUGUUUGGCUGUUUACGAUUUUUGCCGUUUAAGAGUUUUGGUUGAUUAGAAAAUGGCACUUUUUUUCUUUGCAAUUAUAUCAAACUUUUUAAAUUUUAUCAUGUUUAUUUAAGGAAUGACUGUAAUAUCUGUCUAUGAAGAAAUGACAUAAAAAAUGUGGUGCACACUGAAUAACGCGCGUAGCGGGUUAUUUAAAGUUUGCACCACAGUUUUUAUGUUAUUUCGAAUAGGCAGAAAAAAUAUUACAAUCAUUUCUUAUAAUUUAAUUUUAAUUCCGUUUUAAACCGGAGGAAAUGAUGAAAAAAACGUUGAUGACGUCACGGUCACAUGAAAAAAAUAUGUCUAUGGGCUGAUAAACAAAACGACGUCAGCCAAUCAGAAGACACGUUACGUCCAAAAUUAAAUGUUUUACUAAAAAAUUUUUAGAAACGAGCGAUAAAUGAAUAAAAACAUAUAUAUUUGAAAGGAAGUUUUUCUUUCAAUGUUGACUGUAUACUUUCUUUAAUGUUCAAGGUCAAUCAUACUUCAUGUUGACCUUAACCUUUCCAAACAGACAGACUUAAUCCUGAUAAGUGGCUUUUUCCACAUCCAGUUCAACAUAGUUUUCACAGCAAGGAACCAAAUCACAUCUGCAAAACUAUAAUAUUAGAUGAUAUAACCUAUGGAUGUUCUAGAUUAUUUAGUAUUAAAAAGGAAAUCUUUCCGAAGACAAUGUCUCUUAAUAUUGAUUUUUAUU